rnacentral:rRNA from 1 species
AAGCCCGCAAGGGUGAGUACAGUGGCGACCGGGUGAGUAACACGUGGACAACCUACCGUCGAGUGGGGAAUAACCUGGGGAAACCGGGGCUAAUACCGCAUAACACCCAGGGGCUUCGGCCCCGGGGUUGAAACCCGCAAGGGGCUUGGCGAGGGGUCCGCGGCUGAUUAGCUAGUUGGUGAGGUAACGGCCCACCAAGGCUUUGAUCGGUAGCCGGCCUAAGAGGGCGGACGGCCACACUGGAACUGAAACACGGUCCAGACUCCUACGGGAGGCAGCAGUGGGGAAUUUUGCGCAAUGGGGGAAACCCUGACGCAGCAACGCCGCGUGGACGAUGAAGCAUCUUGGU